CCGUCCUGUAGCCACCUCGUAUCUCUGCGCUGUGGGCUCCUUCGGGAACUUUCUGUUGUUUUUAUUUUAUCUAGUAGGGUUGCUGCUCAGCUCUCUGAGAGCUGCUUGCAGUUGCUCUGGUGUGUCCUCCUUCAGAGGGGGAGGUUACACAGCUCAGCAGCAGAAAAUGGAGGUAGAUGGGGAUGUCUCCAGGAACUUGGAGUGCGGGUGGCUGUGGCACUACUCGCAGGACAUGCAUCUGGGCUUUCUUCUGCUCCCAUGCAGUGCCUGUGCAUUUUCUUGCCUUGUGGGUCAUAUUCUCAGUUGCUGAAUCCACGGUUAUUGUCAAAAAGGCAGUCAGAAACUCCCUGGAGGUUUUUCCAAAGUGAGUAAGGCUGAAUUUUCUGACUGGACUGCAUCUCCAGUGGUAUUUGAUGGUUAUGGAUUCUUGCAGUGCAUUUCCCUUCUCAUCCUAGUCAAGAGAGCUCUGAAUUUUUUGGAGGAUGUCAUUCAUAUACCAUACUCUGCACUUUUCUUCCUGUAGUCUUCAAAUGAAGAACUGUCUGAUAUUUCACUGAUGGCUUUCUGUGCUUCACAAAACUACAGUAGCUAAACUUAGCUAUCUUUCCUGAUAUAUGAUUUCCUGAUUUCUUGUGUCAUUCUAAGGUGGGAUAAUAUGGUACCAGAGAGAGCCAGCCAUGCUCUCAUAAGGGCUCAUGGUGCACCUUUUUUGUCAUCAGCUUGCUGGCCCUGAGCUGCUGACUAGUGAGUUAGAGGAAGCCGACUUGAUGUGUUUAAGGCAAUCUUCACAGAAGUGGCUGAAUAUACAGCAAGAGCAGUUGUGGUAUGCUGUAUUUAUUCUUUACUGUUGUUCUUAGGAACUUCUGUUUCCUAAUGUUUAUCCUUUUUUCAAAUGACUACCUUGUCCACUGUGCUGUUUGUCUCCAGUCAUCAUGUAAAACUAUAUGAGAUGUCUUAAGGUAUUGUAAAUAAAUGCUUGUAUUCGGGAUUGAUAAGAUGCAUAGAAUUAAAAAUAUGAAUAGUCAGAAAUAAAGCCUAUGAAGUUGGACAUGA